rnacentral:rRNA from 1 species
AUUGAACGCUGGCGGCAGGCCUAACACAUGCAAGUCGAACGGUAACAGGAAGACGCUUGCUUCUUUGCUGACGAGUGGCGGACGGGUGAGUAAUGUCUGUGAAACUGCCUGAUGGAGGGGGAUAACUACUGGAAACGGUAGCUAAUACCGCAUAACGUCGCAAGACCAAAAAGGGGGACCUUCGGGCCUCUUGCCAUCGGAUGUGCCCAGAUGGCAUUAGCUAGUAGGUGGGGUAACGGCUCACCUAGUCGACGAUCCAUAGCUGGUCUGAGAGGAUGACCAGCCACACUGGAACUGAGACACGGUCCAGACUCCUACGGGAGGCAGCAGUGGGGAAUAUUGCACAAUGGGCGCAAGCCUGAUGCAGCCAUGCCGCGUGUAUGAAGAAGGCCUUCGGGUUGUAAAGUACUUUCAGCGGGGAGGAAGGGAGUAAAGUUAAUACCUUUGCUCAUUGACGUUACCCGAAGAAGAAGCACCGGCUAACUCCGUG